CUCGCGACCGGAAUACGCAUGCAACUGAGACGAAUUGAGACAACAUGUUCGAAUCGAAAGAAGCUUUGUUCAGUUUUGAUGCGGAGCAUCAACGGUUGCAAGUCUUGCAAGCAUCUCAAUAAAUUCCGGUUUCUUCUCUGCAAAGUCAAGGUAAAUAAGAAGUGAAAGUGUGGAGCUUUGGGAGAGGAAGUGACAUGAUUUGUAAUCUUGUGUCACGGUUUCAAAAGGACAUACAGCUUGUAUUAUUGACUACUGUUAUAGCACGUAGUUGUAAA